CAGAUAAAUAAGAUUUAAACCAGGCUAGAACAUGUCCACGUAGCCCAAUAUUGGUUUCCAGUCUCUCUAAGAGAAGGGAGUGAUCAAUAGUGUCAAAAGCAGCACUAAGAUCAAGAAGCAACAGGACGGACGCGGAACCUUUGUCUAAGGCCAUUAGAAGGUCAUUUGUUACCUUCACGAGUUCAGUCUCAGUACUAUGAUGGGAUCUAAAACCGGACUGGAGUUCAUAAAUGUUUUUUGUCUUUAGGAAGGCAUUCAGUUGUUGGGAAACACAUUUUUCUGAGAUUUUUGAGAGGAACGGGAGGUUCGAUAUUGGCCUAUAAUUGUUUAAUAUGUCGGGAUCUAGAUUAGAUUUUUUAGAAGAGGCUUCAUUUCCGCAAUUUUUUGUGAGUUUGGUACGCAUCCGGAGGAAAGGGAGCAAUUUAUUAUGUUCAGCAUUGGCUGACCUAGCACAGGAAAUAACUCCUAAAGUAAUUUUGUAGGAAUCGGGUCUAGCUGAGAGUUAGUGGGUUUAGAACUCAUUACAAAUUUUGUAAAUGUGUCGAGCGAUACGGUAUCAAAAAAUUCAAGUGUCCCCAUUGACACCUGGUCAGGGAGGUUCAGGAAAUGUUUUGGACAACUGAGAUUUUGAGGACCAUAACUAUUUAAGGAGGAGUCAGUUAUUUGUUUUCUAAUGGUGACAAUCUUUUCAUCAAAGUAGUUCAUGUAUUCAUUAGAACUAAGGUGAAGACCCACUUCACUUGCUAAGCUUUGCUUUUUUGUUAACUUUGCAACUGUAUCAAAGAGAAAUUUUGGAUUGUUUUUGUUAGCCUCAAUCAGGUUGGAGAAAUAAGCUGAUCGAGCAGAUGUGAGUGAUUUUCGGUAUUGUAGUGUACUGUCUAUCCAGGCUAGUCUAAAUACUUCCAACUUGGUGGAGCGCCACUUUCGCUCCAUUUUUCUGGAGGCUUGCUUAAGUGCUCUAGUAUUGUCUGCGUACCCGAGGACGUCCCGGAAGAGGCCCAUCCGUUCCACCCUACCAACCCGACACCGCCGUCCCCAUGGAAUUGGGGGCGGCUGCACUGCCGGGCAGACGUCGGGGAGGACAGGUGCGGAAUGCCUCCAAGGGGCAACGAGGCCGUACUACUGCACCACACCGCACCUCCCUCCCCGAGUCGAGAGGCGACAGGCAUGGCACUUCCGCGUCACCCCAGGCCGGGGUGUAAGAACGUCGGGGCUGACGCGCUGUCCCGCCAGCAUGACACUGAGGAGAGGCCAGUGGCUGAUGCUCCCGUGCUCCCGGAGUCAUGCAUCGUGGCACCGGUGGUAUGGGAACUGGACGCGGACAUCGCUAGAGCGCAGCGCGACGAGCCCUCUCCGCCCACAUGCCCUGAGGGCCGUACGUAUGUGCCGCCGUCUGUCCGCGACCGCCUCAUCUACUGGGCGCAUACAUCUCCCUCCUCCGGUCAUCCUGGCAUCGGGCCAACAGUGCGCGCCCUGGCCGGUAAGUACUGGUGGCCCACUUUAGCCAAGGACGUGAGGGUAUAGGUCUCUUCCUGCUCGGUGUGCGCCCAGAGUAAGGCACCCUGGCACCUACCUGUGGGCAAGUUGCACCCCUUGCCCAUUCCACAACGACCAUGGUCCCACCUAUCUGUAGAUUUUUUGACUGAUCUCCCCCCUUCCCAGGGCCAUACCACCAUCCUGGUCGUUGUGGAUCGGUUCUCGAAGUCCUGCCGCCUCUUGCCUCUGCCCGGCCUUCCUACUGCCCUGCAGACCGCGGAGGCCCUGUUUACACACGUCUUCCGGCACUAUGGGGUGCCCGAGGACAUAGUGUCUGACCGGGGUCCCCAGUUCACGUCCAGUGUGUGGAAAGCCUUCAUGCAGCACCUGGGUAUCUCGGUCAGCCUGACCUCGGGCUACCAUCCCCAGUCUAACGGGCAGGUGGAGCGGGUGAACCAGGAAGUGGGUAGGUUCAUCCGGUCCUACUGCCAGGACCGGCCGUGGGAGUGGGCAGAGUUUCUGCCUUGGGCUGAGUAUGCACUUAACUCUCUGCACCACUCCUCCACGGGCGUUUUCACCCUUCCAGUGUGUACUGGGUUACCAGCCGGUCCUGGCGCCCUGGACGCCGAGCCAGACCGGUACCCCUGCAGUGGAUGACUGGUUCCGGCGGGCGGCCACAUGGGUGGCAAAAGGUCUCUGCGGACCGCCACCGCAGGGAGGCCCCGGUGUAUCGGCCGGGCGACCGGGUCUGGCUCUCGUCCAGGGACCUGCCCCUCCGCCUGCCCUGCCGGAAGCUGGCCCCGCGGUUUGUGGGGCCCUUUAAAGUCCUGAGGAGAGUCAACGAGGUAACAUAUCGGUUACGCCUCCCCCCCGACUACCGUAUUAACCCCUCGUUCCAUGUGUCUCUCCUGAGGCUGGUGCUGGCUGGCCCCCUUCAGGUGUGUGAGGUGCGGGAGGUUCCCCCUCCCCUUCUGGACAUCGAGGGGGCCCCGGCGUACUCUGUCCGCUCCAUCAUCGACUCGAGGCGCCGGGCGGGGGGCCUCCAGUACCUCGUGGAGUGGGAGGGGUACGGCCCGGAGUAGCGGAGCUGGGUUCUGGUGAAGGACAUCCUGGCUCCCGUCCUUGUCCGCGACUUCCAUCAGCGUCGGCCGGAUCGCCCUGCUCCGCGUCCCCCGGGCCGGCCCCGGGGCCGGUGUCGUCAGCCGCGCGUCAGAGGGGGGGUACUGUGACAACUGUGACCUCUGCUGGUUCACCUCCCCCUGCAGCGGGCGGGCCCCAGCGGUCGACGUCACCGGCUUUCUGACACCACCGUCUCAUCAUACAUUUCACCUGUGUCCCGUUUAGUGCACCUGUUCCUCAUCAUCGCUGUUUCCCCCGGUAUAUAUGUUCCCUCUGCUCCCCCUGUCUUUGUGUGUGAUUGUCUCUGACUGCCAAAAGAGCUGUGCGACGCUUCGUGAAGCAUAUACUGUAUAUUUUCGUUUGGAUACUAUUAAAUAUCCUUCCACCAUGCCUUCUCCUGCUCCUACUUGCUCCUCAAACCCCGAAGCCGUGACAAGUUUUAGACUUCGCUAGCACCAACCCCAGAUUUGCGGCUACGUCGGUGGCUCUGCCCCCCGGUAAACAAUGUACGAUCGCCAGCUGAUUC
ensembl:lncRNA